UGUACGCGAGUUGCAGCCUACAAUCCGAACUGAGAGAAGCUUUAAGAGAUUAGCUUAGCCUCGCGACUUUGCGACUCGUUGUACUUCCCAUUGUAGCACGUGUGUAGCCCAGGUCAUAAGGGGCAUGAUGAUUUGACGUCAUCCCCACCUUCCUCCGGUUUGUCACCGGCAGUCUCGCUAGAGUGCCCAACUGAAUGAUGGCAACUAACAAUAAGGGUUGCGCUCGUUGCGGGACUUAACCCAACAUCUCACGACACGAGCUGACGACAACCAUGCACCACCUGUCACUUUGUCCCCGAAGGGAAAGCUCUAUCUCUAGAGUGGUCAAAGGAUGUCAAGACCUGGUAAGGUUCUUCGCGUUGCUUCGAAUUAAACCACAUGCUCCACCGCUUGUGCGGGCCCCCGUCAAUUCCUUUGAGUUUCAGCCUUGCGGCCGUACUCCCCAGGCGGAGUGCUUAAUGCGUUUGCUGCAGCACUG
rnacentral:rRNA from 1 species